rnacentral:rRNA from 1 species
UACGAAGGGGGCUAGCGUUGUUCGGAAUUACUGGGCGUAAAGCGCGCGUAGGCGGCUUAGCAAGUUAGAGGUGAAAGCCCGAAGCUCAACUUCGGAAUUGCCUUUAAAACUGCAAAGCUAGAAUCAUGGAGAGGUGAGUGGAAUUCCGAGUGUAGAGGUGAAAUUCGUAGAUAUUCGCAAGAACACCGGUGGCGAAGGCGGCCAACUGGACCAUUACUGACGCUGAGGCGCGAAAGCGUGGGGAGCAAACAGG